AACGAACGCUGGCGGCAGGCUUAACACAUGCAAGUCGAACGCCCCGCAAGGGUAGUGGCAGACGGGUGAGUAACGCGUGGGAAUCUACCCAUCUCUGCGGAAUAGCUCUGGGAAACUGGAAUUAAUACCGCAUACGCCCUACGGGGGAAAGAUUUAUCGGGGAUGGAUGAGCCCGCGUUGGAUUAGCUAGUUGGUGGGGUAAAGGCCUACCAAGGCGACGAUCCAUAGCUGGUCUGAGAGGAUGAUCAGCCACAUUGGGACUGAGACACGGCCCAGACUCCUACGGGAGGCAGUAGUGGGGAAUAUUGGACAAUGGGCGCAAGCCUGAUCCAGCCAUGCCGCGUGAGUGAUGAAGGCCUUAGGGUUGUAAAGCUCUUUCACCGAUGAAGAUAAUGACGGUAGUCGGAGAAGAGGCCCCGGCUAACUUCGUGCCAGCAGCCGCAGUAA
rnacentral:rRNA from 1 species